CCUACGGGUGGCAGCAGUGGGGAAUAUUGCACAAUGGGCGCAAGCCUGAUGCAGCCAUGCCGCGUGUGUGAAGAAGGCCUUCGGGUUGUAAAGCACUUUCAGCGGGGAGGAAGGCGUUAAGGUUAAUAACCUUGUCGAUUGACGUUACCCGCAGAAGAAGCACCGGCUAACUCCGUGCCAGCAGCCGCGGUAAUACGGAGGGUGCAAGCGUUAAUCGGAAUUGCUGGGCGUAAAGCGCACGCAGGCGGUCUGUCAAGUCGGAUGUGAAAUCCCCGGGCUCAACCUGGGAACUGCAUUCGAAACUGGCAGGCUAGAGUCUUGUAGAGGGGGGUAGAAUUCCAGGUGUAGCGGUGAAAUGCGUAGAGAUCUGGAGGAAUACCGGUGGCGAAGGCGGCCCCCUGGACAAAGACUGACGCUCAGGUGCGAAAGCGUGGGGAGCAAACAGGAUUAGAUACCCCAGUAGUC
rnacentral:rRNA from 1 species